AUUGAACGCUGGCGGCAUGGCUAAAACAUGCAAGUCGAACGGAUCCGCAAGGAUCAGUGGCGGAAGGGUCAGUAAUACGAUCGAAUGUACCCCGAGGUGAGGGAUAGGCAUGGGAAACUGUGCGUAAUACCUCAUAAGCACCUAGGUGGAAAGAUUUAUCGCCUUGGGAGCAGCGAUCGUCCUAUCAGGUAGUUGGCGGGGUAAAAGCCCACCAAGCCUAAGACGGGUAGCGGGUGUGAGAGCACGACCCGCGACAUCGGGACUGAGACACUGCCCGGACUCCUACGGGAGGCUGCAGUAACGAAUAUUCCGCAAUGGACGAAAGUCUGACGGAGCAAUGCCGCGUGCAGGAUGAAGCGGUUUCGCCGUGUAAACUGCUGUCAGGGGCAGGAAAAACUGAUCCGCCCCAGAGGAAGAGACGGCUAACCCUGUG
rnacentral:rRNA from 1 species